GACUCGGUAGCUCAGUUUGGAUAGAGCGACUGCCUUCUAAGCAGUAGGUCGAGAGUUCAAAUCCCUCCCGGGUCGC
rnacentral:tRNA from 1 species